UACAGAGGUCCCAAGCGUUGUUCGGAUUUACUGGGCGUAAAGGGCGCGUAGGCGGCGUGGUAAGUCACUUGUGAAAUCUCUGAGCUUAACUCAGAACGGCCAAGUGAUACUGCUGUGCUAGAGUGCAGAAGGGGCAAUCGGAAUUCUUGGUGUAGCGGUGAAAUGCGUAGAUAUCAAGAGGAACACCUGAGGUGAAGACGGGUUGCUGGGCUGACACUGACGCUGAUGCGCGAAAGCCAGGGGAGCAAACGGG
rnacentral:rRNA from 1 species